UAGACAUUUCAUGAGCUGUUUGCCAAGGAAAGUCCUGUGAGCAGCAGGCACCUGGCAGCUGUGACGAGUCUGCCUAACGAGGGUGGAAACCUGCAGCAGCCUGAGCCUCCCUGCUAAAGGUUGGAGAGACUCAGUCCUCUCCUGGUGCAUGUGGGAGCAUAGGAGCCAGCAGCCGCAGCAGCAGCAGCCGCCACCUCCUCAGCCUUUCCCCCGGAGCUGCUCUGCCAGCCCUAGCUGAGGUACAGUGGGGCUGUGCUGGCCUGGGAUGCCCUGGGGUCCUGGCAUCCCAGCAGCUAACCCAUGUGAAGUCAACUGGGGAGUCCAUUCAUUUUACACUGCUGAAGUCCCACCGAAGCAGCUGGGGCUGACAUCAGUAGGAAAAAGAGCCAUCCUGGGAUGGCAAGGAGGUGACGGAGGCUCCUGAGCAGAGACUGAUGGCUGAGGUCGCUGCUGAAGAUCAUGGAAUCGUUUAGCUGUGUAAAGCUGGAGGCUGGUGAGGCCUUUCCUUUUCUCCACCUUUCUCUGAAAGGCGCACGCUGAACCUGGUGAAAUCUGACCCAGCGACUUUACAGUACGUAAUCAUGUGUGUAUAUUUAACCUUUAUGCUGUGAUUGUACCGUGGGGUUAUACUCAUUAUGUUGAUGACCACUUGUUUGCUUGCCAAUGACUUUAUAUUUUUGGCUGAUACGUCUUUCCUGCUCCAGUUAAACCUGAGGUAAAAGGUUCAUACGGAUGAACGGGGUGUCUCGUAUCCCACCAGGACUGCCCUCCUCCAGGGCCACUGCGGUUUCAGCCCAGCAAUGUUGGCACCGGGUGGCCUGGGGGAGGCAUUGCUAUGGCUGAACAUGAACGGGGCUUGGGGUCAUCUCAGAAAUCAGAAUUGCUGUGCAAUGGGGCCAUUGUGUUAAAGGAGCACCAUGGUGUCAUUCUUUCAUGGAAUGAAAAUGUAGGCAAACAAGGGAAGGAACUUUUUUUUCUUCCUAUACCUUUUCUUCUUAGUUCUGACAAACAUCACUGCUGGGCUAAGCCCUCAGGACGUGCCCCAGCAUCCCACCGAGGCCAUCUCAGCCCGCCCGGAUGAAAAUGCUUCGUCAUGGGGGCAGGAGCAGUCCAGCAUCCCAGCGCUCCACCGGCUUCUGCUUGGAGCUCCCUGUGGGUUUGUUGCUCCACCUGCAGCCAGGGGUAGGGCUGUAAUAGUGAUUACCUGCCUUGCAGGAACAGUUAGUUGAACAAGAGGUAGCAGGAAGAAAGAAAAGCAUGAUAGCCAUGUGAAAAUGUGGUGAGAAGAGUCUCCUGUGCUGGCGUAGCAUCCAGUGCAGUCAGAUCUCUAAACGUGAUCUCAUCCAGUGAUAGUAAAAAACAAUAUAGACAAUAAUAAAAAUAUGGAAAACCCUAACAUAUUAAAUGAGCCAGAGUCAUUUGGAGCCUCUUUUGGAGGUUUUCUUGUGCCGUGCUUGUCGCUUUGCUGGGCUGUCUAUACAGCCUCUGGAGUGCUACUCAGAAACCACCUUUGCUUUUUGAGGCUGUAGCAGUGCUGCCUUCUCCUUCUGCUGAUUUGUUGCUUUUUGACACAGUUCAGCUCUUCAGAAAUACCUUUGUGGUGUUUAUUAAAGCCCAGCCCUGCCUUGGCUGAGGCGGUGGCUCUCUGGUGCCGGGGCUGCCCAGUGCUGCUGCUUUGUGGGGUGCGGGGUAAGGCAGGGGACCCGGCGGCACUGGGUCAGGCGGAGGAGCUGUGUGCGGCUGGACGUGCUGCCGUCCCACCUUUCCCAUCUUGGUACAAGUGUUCAAUAGUGUACCCUAUUGCAAAACACUUGAAGGUUUGUUGUUGGGUGUCAGCAGGUGUUUGCAUUAAUGAAACACUUUGGAAGGGUUUUGGGGAGCUCUGGGGAAUGUGUGGCUCUGACAGCCCAGCACGCACAUGUUCCUGUGUCAGCACCGAACACUUUCUCUCCAACACAUCCCAUGCAGGUAUCUGGUCCGACUCUCCUGGGUGAGUGGUUGACCCUGGCUGUUUGCUUGGCCAUUCUCUGUGUGCCCCAGUGGGGCUGACCUGGGGUCAGAAGACCCCAGCCCACCAUCAGUCCCAGCAACACCCGUCCAAGAGCUGUGCGUGUGUCUCUGCUCACAUCUUGGCUGCACAGGCGGAAAACAAGCACCCGUAGGAAGGGGCUGUGCCCACGGGGGCUGCUCCUGUUCAGCUCCUGCCCGGGGUGCCAGCGCACAGCCUCCCACCUCCUGUCUUUCCCAGAGAGUCUGGGAUACCCAAGGAUCCCUAUGGCUGGGUGAGCUGGUGGAUGCUGGCAGCCUCUUCCAGCCUGUUCCCUGAGGUGGUUGCAUCCAUAUGACAGGUACUGCUGGAAAGCAAAACCUUUGCCUGCUGGAUAAUGCUCACUCCUGGCAUCGCUCCAGAGAUGCCCCAGCUGCCAGGGUAUGAUGUUUAUCCACCAUAUCCCAAGGAUGUCUUGGGUUGCCAGGUGCCUUCCAGAAGCUUGAAGCUGGUUCACUGCUCUGAGCCCCCCGGGAAGGGGCCCUGCACCUCCUAGGAAACCCCACAUGGGGUUAGUGCUGGGGCCAAUGCCGUCUCCCCUGUCAUAUGGGGG